AAGAGACGUUGCCCUUCGGGGUAUACCUCCCACCCUUUGUUUAUUAUACCUUUGUUGCUUUGGCGGGCCCGUCCUCGGACCACCGGCUUCUGCUGGUCAGUGCCCGCCAAAGGACCUAAAACUCUGUUUGUUAAUAUUGUCUGAGUACUAUAUAAUAGUUA
rnacentral:misc_RNA from 1 species